rnacentral:rRNA from 1 species
UAUAGGUUGUAGGGAACUGAAAAGCGACGACCCUUCGGGGAGCUUGCACAGGUGCUGCAUGGCUGUCGUCAGCUCGUGUCGUGAGAUGUUCGGUUAAGUCCGCUAACGAGCGCAACCCUCGCUGUGUGUUACAAGUGUCACACGGUACUGCCGGUCUUAAGCCGGAGGAAGGUGGGGAUGACGUCAAGUCAGCAUGGCCUUUAUGUCCUGGGCUACACACACGCUACAAUGGCCAACACAAUAGGUUGCUAAGCCGCGAGGUGGAGCCAAUCCUCAAAGUUGGUCUCAGUUCAGAUUGCAGGCUGCAACCCGCCUGCAUGAAGAUGGAGUUGCUAGUAACCGCAGGUCAGCUAUACUGCGGUGAAUACGUUCCCGGGGCUU